CCUACGGGGGGCAGCAGUGGGGGAUAUUGCGCAAUGGGGGCAACCCUGACGCAGCAACGCCGCGUGAAGGAUGAAGGUUUUCGGAUUGUAAACUUCUUUUCUUAAGGACGAAAUUUGACGGUACUUAAGGAAUAAGCUCCGGCUAACUACGUGCCAGCAGCCGCGGUAAUACGUAGGGAGCAAGCGUUGUCCGGAUUUACUGGGUGUAAAGGGUGCGUAGGCGGCAAUGCAAGUCAGAUGUGAAAUCUAUGGGCUCAACCCAUAAACUGCAUUUGAAACUGCGUUGCUUGAGUGAAGUAGAGGCAGGCGGAAUUCCCCGUGUAGCGGUGAAAUGCGUAGAGAUGGGGAGGAACACCAGUGGCGAAGGCGGCCUGCUGGGCUUUAACUGACGCUGAGGCACGAAAGCGUGGGUAGCAAACAGGAUUAGAUACCCCUGUA
rnacentral:rRNA from 1 species